GGUCGAUCAAAUACUCGUAUGAUUUUUAAUUUAGCAUUAUUAUUUAGAUACAUUUUGUAAAUAUGUGUUUUUUUAUUUUUUAUAAUUAACACAUCCACCCUUCUUUUGAUUUUAUAAUAUGACACAUUUAAAACCGCAUAAUGUGUUUUUAAUAAUGUAUUUUACUUUCAGUCACGACUACCGUAAUACAAUAUUGUGUAUUCCUUCGGGAGUUACCCAUUUCCUAUAAAAUUAUACCUUCCCCUUUUCGGCCAAUUUACUUUUUCACCAAACAUUUACGAUGACAUUUUAAAAUACGACAAU